rnacentral:misc_RNA from 1 species
AUUUUCCUGCACUGAGCUACAAUGAUGCUGAUCAAUUUAAUUGCUGCUCUGGAUUUUAGGAGAGUGUUUUAGGCCAGCACAAGGGUUGAGCAACAGUAUCGCACAUGACCCUCCUGCAAUAGACUGGGACAAUGCGAGCUUUAUACCCUGGACAACGCGAGCUUUAUACCCUGCAAAUUGGAGGAACGUUGGGGGGACAAAUGAAAAUACUUCCGGUUCUGUUUUUGUAUAGUUUGGGG